CAGCUUGUCGACGCCACUUCCAGCGGGCGCAACUACCGUGGCCGUUGCCGGACGAGCUGGAGAGGAAGAAAGCAGCAUGGACUACAGCCAGGAUUUUACCGCUGCUGUCGACGAUACCGCGCCCCCUUACAGGACAGAAGCCAGUGAGUCCAACGACGCCAACUACACCAGCACAAGUACAGAGCGAGAAGAAAUCUUCGGGGGCAGUGAAGAUAUCUGAACACUACUUUUUCGAUCCUGUCUCAAACCUUUGUACUUUCUUUAGCUCGCGGUUUCAUACGCUCAUGUUGUGUCCACGACUGGCGUGUCUACAAAUGCGCUGCCACAUAAAACUCUGUUUCUCUUCCUUAUUCAAAAGCAUUGGCGCCCGCAUCGCCAAAUGUGCUUAAGCGUUGUUAGGAUCAGAAAAUUGAAUAAAUCUAUUCGGUGCCGCAACGCAUGGCUAGACGAAUUCAGCCGCAAUGAACCUAGACCGCUGCGCUUGAUAUUCAGGGCAACAGUCUAUUACUGCUUUUCUUCUAAGACCACUUAUAGGGCCGUAUUCUGUAGCGGUUCGCUUUGGAACCGGUUCGGUUGUUACGUUGGUUACAAGGGUU